CAGUCGAGCGGACCUUUCGGGGUCAGCGGCGGACGGGUGAGUAACGCGUGGGAAUAUGCCCUUCUCUACGGAAUAGUCCUGGGAAACUGGGGGUAAUACCGUAUACGCCCUUUGGGGGAAAGAUUUAUCGGGGAAGGAUUAGCCCGCGUUGGAUUAGGUAUUUGGUGGGGUAAUGGCCUACCAAGCCGACGAUCCAUAGCUGGUUUGAGAGGAUGAUCAGCCACACUGGGACUGAGACACGGCCCAGACUCCUACGGGAGGCAGCAGUGGGGAAUCUUAGACAAUGGGGGCAACCCUGAUCUAGCCAUGCCGCGUGAGUGAUGAAGGCCUUAGGGUUGUAAAGCUCUUUCAGCUGGGAAGAUAAUGACGGUACCAGCAGAAGAAGCCCCGGCUAACUCCGUGCCAGCAGCCGCGGUAAUACGGAGGGGGCUAGCGUUGUUCGGAAUUACUGGGCGUAAAGCGCACGUAGGCGGAUCGGAAAGUUGGGGGUGAAAUCCCGGGGCUCAACCUCGGAACUGCCUUCAAAACUACUGGUCUUGAGUUCGAGAGAGGUGAGUGGAAUUCCGAGUGUAGAGGUGAAAUUCGUAGAUAUUCGGAGGAACACCAGUGGCGAAGGCGGCUCACUGGCUCGAUACUGACGCUGAAGUGCGAAAGCGUGGGGAGCAAACAGGAUUAGAUACC
rnacentral:rRNA from 1 species